ACGAACGCUGGCGGCGUGCUUAACACAUGCAAGUCGAACGGGUCUGCCCUGUUUUUUGCGGGGUGGGUCAGUGGCGAACGGGUGAGUAACACGUGAGUAACCUGCCCCUCACUUCUGGAUAACCGCUUGAAAGGGUGGCUAAUACGGGGUGUUCUGGCUGUGCCGCAUGGUGUGGCUGGGAAAGAUUCACUUUUGUGGUGUUUUGGUGGGGGAUGGGCUCGCGGCCUAUCAGCUUGUUGGUGGGGUGAUGGCCUGCCAAGGCUUUGACGGGUAGCCGGCCUGGGAGGGUGGGCGGUCACACUGGGACUGAGAUACGGCCCAGACUCCUGCGGGAGGCAGCAGUGGGGGGUAUUGCACAAUGGGCGGAAGCCUGAUGCAGCGACGUCGCGGGAGGGAUGGAGGCCUUCGGGUUGUGAACCUCUUUCGCCGGUGAAGAAGGUCCUGCUCUUUGUGGUGGGGUUGACGGUAGCCGGGUUAUGAAGCGCCGGCUAACUACGUG
rnacentral:rRNA from 1 species